rnacentral:rRNA from 2 species
CCAAGGAGUCUAACAUGCGCGCGAGUCGUUGGGCUUGUACGAAACCCGAAGGCGAAGUGAAAGCGAGGGCCGUCCUCUGCGACGUGCUCAGGUGGGAUCUCGGAAAGGAUUUUUGUUMCGAGCGCACCACUGGCCCGUCUCGUCCGCGUCGUCGGUGAGGCGGAGCAUGAGCGUGCACGUUGGGACCCGAAAGAUGGUGAACUAUGCCUGAGUAGGACGAAGCCAGAGGAAACUCUGGUGGAGGUCCGCAGCGAUUCUGACGUGCAAAUCGAUCGUCAAACUUGGGUAUAGGGGCGAAAGACUAAUCGAACCAUCUA